GUGAGUAUAGCUCAGUGGUAGAGCACAUGCUUAGCAUGCUUGAGGUCCUGGGUUCAAACCCCAACACCCCCA
rnacentral:tRNA from 1 species